ensembl:rRNA 5S_rRNA 5S ribosomal RNA
GCUUACGGCCACACUGCCUGGUUCACGCCUGAUCUCGGAAGCUAAGAUAGGUUGGGCCUGGUUAGUACUUGGAUGGGAGACCGCCUGGGAAUACCAGGUGCUGCAAGCU